GUGAUCGUCGAGCAAAAAUGCAGGACCCCCUGUGAUGAUGUAGCUGCUCCCAAGCCUCAUCUAAAACCUGUGCUGCAGAGGAAGCUGGGAGAGUGCAUGCCACAGGAGUCCAGGUGGCACCAACAGCUCCUGGCAGAAACAGAACGGCCACAGACACCGCAGCCAUCCACAGCAAGGGAAAGCAGAGGCAGGCCCACAGAAAUGCCUGUGAUGCCUAAAAUCGCCUUGAGAUCUCCAAGUGAUCGUUUCUUAAUGUUUCAAGAUGCCAGUCCAGAGUUUAAAACUGUCAGUGCUGUAGCACAGCAGCUGGGACCAGAAGUUCAGGAGCCUACUCCCAAACUGUCCUCCAGCACCCACCUUGCCUCAGCCAGGUCAUCAGUGUCCUGUAACAGCACAGGUCUCACUGCAGAUUGUACACGUACUCCCGUGAGUGCACCCAUGCUGGCAGACAUCAAAUCUGACUGUUCCCUGAACGCUGGCCAACAGCAGCUGCCUCCUUACAGAGCAAGAUCCAAAUCUUUAGAGAGUGGCCUUCAAAGCAGGGAACGUGACCAUCACCUUCCUGCCACGUGGCCAUCACCAACCAUUGCUGAACUGAUCGGAACCAGAUACGCAAUGAGAGUGCUGGAAGGGGAAGUCGUCUCCCAGGGAGGCAGUGAUGGUGCCUCUUCGAGAGGAAAGGUAAGUUUCUUUUCCUUGUUGUUGUGCUGUCUGUGCCUUUGCUAA
rnacentral:lncRNA from 1 species